UUCCACAUAUUGCGUUUUUCCU
rnacentral:siRNA from 1 species